ensembl:lncRNA
UUCGUGGCCUUAGGCGGGGUCCGCGUUCCCUGGGGAAGCAAGGCUGGAGGGCCAGAGGGGCCGGGGCCACGGGUGUGCUCCUGCCCUUGCAGUUCUCAAGGGCUGGGCGGGCGGGCCCUGUCGGCUGGGAGAGGGCGCCAGAGACUGCUGUGCCCACAGUCAAAGGGGGUCCUUCCCUAGAAGGUGGCAGGAGCCAUCGAGAGGCCCUCACCUAAGAGGAAGUGGGGGGUCAACAGCCGUGUUAUGCUCCCUGACUAAUGUUGGAAGCGAAGCAGGAUGGGGCCUGGUUCGUACUGGGAUGCGAGAACACGUAGGAAUUUUUUUCUAAGAGGAAGGACUCCUUUGUUUCCCUAGGGAGUUGAUGACCCCUAAGUCGUUCCCAGUGUUAUGGGUACCCAGUACUCUUGGGACAUGGGGCAUUUCCAGGGCGACAGGGCGGGCAGUUGAUGAGGCAGAAAGUGUUCAAAGGUAUCUGCUCUUGUCUGGCCUUUGAUUCUCAUUUACUGUGUGACCUUGGGCAAGUUUCUUUCCCUCUCUGGGCCUCAGUUCUUCCCCUUGAAAACCAAGGGGUUUGACCAGGUGAUCACAGAGGAUCCUCCUCAGCUCUGCCUCCAAGAAUUUGUGAACCUUGGAGCUUCUGGUCUGGUGGGUGGAGUCAGAGCCCUUGACUCUGUCCUGUCUACCACCGGCGAGGAUUCAUUGGCCCCAGAGUACUUCCCACUCCCUUUGGAUGGCCUGAAGUUGACCUUAUACCCAAGCAGAUAUAUUGAUUAGCAAGGGGCUCUCUUGCUCUGUUCAGUCCCUGUCCCAUACUUGUGAAAAGGGAGACAGCAAAAUUUUACUGUAUAAUUGGAAUUUCGACCCUUCUCGGUCCAGCCCCUCCUGGGGUGGACUGUGCGACCAUUUUCCAUGGUGAAAUUACCCAGUUCACAUGCCUGGCACAGUGCCCUAGCCCUUGCCUUCAGGGAUCUCAUCAACCCUCAACCCUAGGGACACCUACCCCAGGUCAGAACCAAGUCAGCUCGGGGCAGUCGCAAUCCUCCGGCCAGUUUUGGGGUCCCUGCUGAAUCCAGCCCCUCCCAGAGCUUGCGGGGCCAUUUGCCCCCCCGCCCCUGGCAGCUGCAGAGUUGAUGAAGUGUGGGAAUAACACAUGGCCAGCAUAUGUUCUCCAAGGUUAUCUUCUGGAACCUUGGGGGCUGGUAUAAGACCCAUUAGGAUUUGGGGUGACUACAGAUGGACCUCUUCCCUCAUCACUAACCCAGUCACCCAAAAGCUUUGUCAGGCUGGUUUCUAGCCCUCCUUCCACCUCGAAAAUCACACUCACCAUUUUGGGUUUAUCCCAGCGCUGAGCUGAAAUUUCUCCAGCUGCAAGAUGCACCACGGGCCCAGUGAGCAUUUUUUUCUUUUUUCUUUUUGGGGCCGCACCCGCAGCAUAUGGAGGUUCCCAGGCUAGGGGUCUAAUCAGAGCUAUAGCUGCUGGCCUACGCCACAGCCACAGCAACGCAGGAUCCAAGCCAUGUCUGGAACCUAUACCACAGCUCACGGCAACACCGGAUCCUCAACCCACUGAGCGAGGCCAGGGAUCGAACCUGCAACCUCAUGGUUCCUAGUCGGAUUCAUUUCCGCUGCACCACAAUGGGAACUCCAUUGAGCGUUUUAUUUACUCUUUGAGUCUAGGACUGCAGAAGGGCAGUGGUCAAGUUCAUUUGAAUCUGGCUUGACCAUCCUUGGUUGAUGACAUCUCUGCUUGGUGCUGAGCCCUGGAGACAUAGAGUUGGGUCAGUCGCAGCCCCUGUUGUCAGGAAGCUCAUGAACAAGGGAAAGUUACAGAGAAAAUAAUGGUUUGAAGGCGGGGGGCGGGGGAGCCACUGCAUUCAGGGCUCCACGGUUGCUUGCUGGUCCAUGUCGCGCCUUGGUGUGAAUUAGAAACGGUGCCCCUUCCAGGUGGAUUCAACCCACCUUGGAAUGCAUAGCCCCUUCAAGUGGUCACAGGCUGGAGUUCAGCCCCCCUUGCCCCUGGGACGGGUGCCCUCCAGCUCAGCCAUGUGCUACAGCCUGUUGGGACACUCAGGCGUCUUCCUGCGAGAAAAGGCCAGCUCAUCUUUCCAAGCUUCGGGUUGGCUCAAGACCCUGCUGUCCCUGGGGCCCCCAAGCACGUCUGAGUCCUGCCCUGCAGUGGCCCUCUCCUCCCGGGGUCAGCCUCCCCGUGUGAGUCCUUGGAGUGAAACUGGGGUCGCCCCCCUGCCCCCCACUGGGCCCCAGGCACCGGCACAGUUCUGGCUUCUCUGUCCACACAUUUGGGGCCUGUGCUGACCACACAGCUCCACACUGGGACUUUGUAGUGGGCCCCAUGGGUGGCAUGUGGAUAGCAGUCGGGGCGGGAAUAAGGAGCGUGGCCUGGGGUGAAAGUCUACAGGCCGAGGGCCAGCUGGACUUCCUCAGCCUUCCAACCAAGAGAAGAGUUCGGUUUCCAUGAAGAUAAGGACUGAAUGCUUUGGCUGGACUCCACGGGCCUCCUCGGCCUCAGAGACCAAACCGGUGAGGGUGAGCUCGCCUGGGGUCUUGGUUCAGCUGGGGGAGUUGUGGACAUGCUGGCCCCACAAGGUACAGUGAAGAGCACACGUCCCUGGAAGCCCACGUCCGCUCCGUCCUGGCUGCCACCACCCAGCUGAGUGACCUUGAGCAACUCAUUCAACCUUGGGGGCUCAGUUUCUCUAACUGUGAAAUGGGACAGUAAUCGCUUUCCUGCCCGACUUAAGGAAGCCGUGAGGACCAAAGAGAGUGAAAGUCCGUGGAGAUGAGAAUGUCAGCCCUGGAAGCUGCAAACGGCUGCACAGGUCAUGGCCCUGCCACCGUGGGCAUGUAGCCCAGGGUCACACAGGAAGUCCGCUGUGGGCUGAGUCCUCCUCGCAUCUGGCUUUGUCCCUUCCUCCCUUCUCACUUAGGCAGAGGUCAGUCAGGAUGAGCGGUGGCCAGUGUGGCUUUGGUGUCCCAGCUGAAAGGGAAAUUCUGAUAUUAGUCAGGAACCCCGUGCCACCAGGCAGUGGCCCCAGCUACCAAGACAGAGG